rnacentral:rRNA from 1 species
AGGAUGAACGCUGGCGGCGUGCCUAACACAUGCAAGUCGAACGCGCUCCAUUCGGUAGCAAUACUGAUGAAGAGCGAGUGGCGAACGGGUGAGUAACACAUGAGCAACCUGCCCCGAAGACUGGGACAACACCGGGAAACCGGUGCUAAUACCGGAUAUCCCUAUCGGACCGCAUGAUCUGAUAAGGAAAGUUUUUCGCUUCGGGAGGGGCUCGUGGCCUAUCAGCUAGUUGGUGAGGUAACGGCCCACCAAGGCAUCGACGGGUAGCUGGUCUGAGAGGACGAUCAGCCACACUGGGACUGAGACACGGUCCAGACUCCUACGGGAGGCAGCAGUGGGGAAUCUUGCGCAAUGGGCGAAAGCCUGACGCAGCAACGCCGCGUGUGUGAUGAAGGUCUUCGGAUCGUAAAGCACUGUCGGCAGGAACGAAGGUUUACAGGGAUAAUACUCCUGUAGAUUGACGGUACCUGACAAAGGAAGCACCGGCUAAC